AGGGUUCGAUUCUGGCUCAGAACGAACGCUGGCGGCAGGCCUAACACAUGCAAGUCGAGCGCGCCCUUCGGGGGUGAGCGGCGGACGGGUUAGUAACGCGUGGGAACGUACCCUUUGGUAGGGAAUAGCCACUGGAAACGGUGAGUAAUACCCUAUGAGCCCUUCGGGGGAAAGAUUUAUCGCCAAAGGAUCGGCCCGCGUUAGAUUAGGUAGUUGGUGGGGUAAUGGCCUACCAAGCCUACGAUCUAUAGCUGGUUUUAGAGGAUGAUCAGCAACACUGGGACUGAGACACGGCCCAGACUCCUACGGGAGGCAGCAGUGGGGAAUCUUGGACAAUGGGGGCAACCCUGAAUCCAGCCAUGCCGCGUGAGUGAAGAAGGCCUUAGGGUCGUAAAGCUCUUUCGCCUGUGAAGAUAAUGACGGUAGCAGGUAAAGAAACCCCGGCUAACUCCGUGCCAGCCGCUGC
rnacentral:rRNA from 1 species